ACCAAAGAAUUAUUUAUAUUUCUGGUUCGCUAAUUCUAUUUCUUUAGAAUAAGAAAUGUUAUUGCUUGAAAAUUUCUGUAAUCUAAUAGUUUUUUUUUGAACCUUUAUUUUGAUGACUAGAUUCCAGUGCAAUCAUCACUAUCAGCUCUGAUCAUGAAGGUGAUUCAUCAAAAACUAAUGGGCUGACAAGUGUUGCUGAUAAUGAGUCAAUUCUCCGAUUCGUCGACUUUAGCGAAGAAGCUGAACCGGAAGACAUUACUAGCAAGCCAAUUGCCUCUGAGCCUCCAAAACGGCACAUGAUUGGUUUUCCUCCGCCAAGGAGAACUGAUGCAGGGAAAAUGCCCGCAUCAGCUGAAAAAUCAGAAGCAAGUCCGAAGAAACCUUACAGAGCACUAAUGAUGAGAGCUAUUAAUGAUUUUGGAGUUACGAAGGAAAAGAAGAAAAGAGCUAAGAAGUCAUCAAAUCUGAAAAGGAAAAGAGCAGCAAAGUGAAUCCCUUAAUUAAUUCUUCGGAGAAAACUUUAAUCAUAGACUCUAAAUACCCGAAGAACUAGUUGGUUGUUUUGUUUGUUUUGCAUGCCCAUGAUAACUGCUUUUAUCGGAUCUUGAUUAUCCUUUUUGUGACCUUUG